rnacentral:rRNA from 1 species
GUUCAAGCUACUAAGGGCGCACGGUGGAUGCCCUGGCGCCAGGGGCCGAUGAAGGACGCUGCCGGCGGCGAAAGGACCGGGGAGGUGCCUAGCAACCUUCGAUCCGGUCGUCUCCGAAUGGGGCAACCCCCGGCGGGUCAUACCGCCGGAUCCCGCGCUGAAUCCAUAGGUGCGGGAGGGCCAGUCGGGGAACUGAAACAUCUCAGUACCCGGAGGAAGAGAAAUCAACCGAGAUUCCCGGAGUAGUGGCGAGCGAAACGGGAACAGCCCAAACCCGCGGCGCGUGAGAGCUCGCAGGCGUUGCGCCGCGGGGGUUGGAGGGCGUCACCGGGCCGGGCUGCGAACCGGCCGGGAAGUGACCAAUCCCCGCUCUAGCCGAACUGUCCUGGAACGGCAGGCCGUAGACGGUGAGGAGCCCGGUAGGCGAAAGGGCGGGGACUUCCUGGGUGACGUUCCUGAGUACCGCGGGACACGUGGAACCCCGCGGGAAGCUGGGGGGACCACCCUCCAAGGCUAAAUACCCCUGGCGACCGAUAGCGCACGAGUACCGUGAGGGAACGGUGAAAAGAACCCCGGGAGGGGAGUGAAAUAGAACCUGAAACCGUGUGCCUACAGACAGUCGGAGGGCUAUGCCGAUCCCUUCAGGGAUCGGAAUGCCUGACGGCGUGCCUAUUGAAGAAUGAGCCGGCGAGUUGCACCGUGUGGCGAGCUUAAGCGAGCGAAUCGCGGAGGCGGAGGGAAACCGAGUCUGAACAGGGCGCCGCUCCCGGAGGGGAGGCACGGCUUCGGCCGUGCAGUCGCACGGUGCAGACCCGAAACCGGGUGAGCUACCCAUGGCCAGGGUGAAGCGCGGUUAGCCCCGCGUGGAGGCCCGAACCCACUGGUGUUGAAAAACCAGGGGAUGAGCUGUGGGUAGGGGUGAAAUGCCAAUCGAACCCGGAGAUAGCUGGUUCUCCCCGAAAUGCAUUGAGGUGCAGCCCCGGUGCCAAGCCUCCGGGUGGUAGAGCACUGGAUGGGCUAGGGCGGGAGGACCCGUACCGAACCCAACCAAACUCCGAAUGCCCGGACGGCGUUCGUCGGGAGUGAGACGGUGGGGGAUAAGCUCCAUCGUCGAGAGGGGAACAACCCAGACCGCCAGCUAAGGUCCCCAAAUCGUGGCUAAGUGGGAAAGGAAGUGGCCUCGCUCAGACAGCCAGGAGGUUGGCUUAGAAGCAGCCAUCCUUGAAAGAGUGCGUAAUAGCUCACUGGUCGAGCGAUGCUGCGCCGAAGAUUCAACGGGGCUCAAGCCACGUACCGAAGCUGCGGGUCUCGCGUCCGCUGGGACGCGGGGCGGUAGGGGAGCGUUCCGGUGUAGGUUGAAGGCGGACCGGGAGGACCGCUGGACGACCCGGAAGUGCGAAUGCCGGCAUGAGUAGCGAAAAGGCAGGUGAGAAUCCUGCCCGCCGUAAGGCCAAGGGUUCUUACGGAAGGUUCGUCCGCGUAAGGUUAGGCGGGACCUAAGGCGAGGCCGACAGGCGUAGCCGAUGGACAGCCGGUCGACAUUCCGGCCCCGCUCGUCAGCCGUCAUGAGCCAAGGGGGGACGCAGGAGGGUAGGCCUACCGGGGGCUGGUCGUCCCGGGCCAAGCGGGUAGGCGGAGGCCCCAGGCAAAUCCGGGGCCUCAUCCAACGCCGAGACGCGAGCGCGAGCUGGGUUGCAUGCCCGGCGAAGUGGCUCAGCCCACACUGCCAAGAAAAGCCUCGUGGCCAGGCUGGCGGGCGCCCGUACCGCAAACCGACACAGGUGGCCAGGCACUCAACGUGCCAAGGCGCGCGAGAGAACCCUCGUCAAGGAACUCGGCAAAAUGACCCCGUAACUUCGGGACAAGGGGUGCCUCGGUAGGGUGAGGUGCGUCACGCACCGAGCCCGAGGAGGUCGCAGAGAAUAGGCUCAGCCGACUGUUUAACAAAAACACAGGUCUCUGCGAAGCCGUAAGGCGACGUAUAGGGGCUGACGCCUGCCCAGUGCCGGAAGGUUAAGGGGACGGGUUAGUCCGGGUUCGCCCGGGCGAAGCCCUGAACCAAAGCCCCGGUGAACGGCGGCGGUAACUAUAACCGUCCUAAGGUAGCGAAAUUCCUUGUCGGGUAAGUCGCCACUUGCCCCAUGCGAGAGAGAUCUCGCAUGCCACACCGGCUCAUAUCGGUGGAGCCCUCGGGGGGGGUUGCAAAAUCUGCAAGUCCUGCCGAGGGGAAUACCGAGGGAAGCUGCGGCCUCGGCCGCUAGCCCCGUAACGACUUCGGGGAAGAGGACCCCCGGGGUGGCGUCUCUGGCCGGACGGCCAAAUCUGCAGGCGCCACAAGACGCCGGUAUCUCGCCUGGAGCCAGCUGGUGGAUCUGCACGCCUACCUGUCCGGCUAUGCUGACGGAGAAGGGUGCUUCUGCAUCACGUUCAAUCGCAGCACGCGCCAUGUCUUCGGCUGGGAUAUCCGGCCGAGUUUCUCUGUCAGCCAGAACCGGGACCGCGCCGAGAUCCUUGAGGUGUUCCUCCGGACAUUCGGGUGGGUCGAUUCGGCCCGACCGAUCGGAUCGAACGCUCAAGUAUGAGGUGCGGAGUGUCGCGGACUUGGUGGCGCGUGUCAUCCCGCACUUCCGGCGAUACCCGCUGCUUUCAGGCAAGCGGAGAGACUUCGCGGUCUUCGCUGAAGUGUGCGAGAGGAUGUACCGUCGCGAGCACCUGACGGUGGUUGGAUUUCAGCGCAUCGUCAGGCUGGCCGGACAGAUCAACCAGACUGGCAAGAAAAGGUAUCCCAGGAUCGAGAUAAAGGUAUAGUCUACGCCCCUGGUAACAGGGAAUCGCGUGAAGUUCCGACCUGCACGAAUGGCGUAACGAGCUGAGCGCUGUCUCGACGAGGGACUCGGCGAAGUUGUGAAGCCCGUGAAGACACGGGCCACCCGCGGCUGGACGGAAAGACCCCGUGGAGCUUUACUGCAGCUUGUCAUUGGAUGUGGUCUUACCGUGUAGAGGAUAGGUGGGAGGCGGAGAAGCCGGGGCGCCAGCCUCGGUGGAGCCACCCUUGGAAUACCACCCUCGGCAAGGUUACGUCCUAACCUGGGCCCUCAGCGGGUCUGGGGACAGUGGCAGGUGGGCAGUUUGACUGGGGCGGUCGCCUCCUAAACGGUAACGGAGGCGCCCAAAGGUCCCCUCAGCACGGUUGGAAACCGUGCGGCGAGUGCAAGGGCAUAAGGGGGCUUGACUGCGAGGCCUACAAGCCGAGCAGGGGCGAAAGCCGGGCCUAGUGAUCCUACGGCGGCAAGUGGAAGCGCCGUGGCUUAACGGAUAAAAGCUACCCCGGGGAUAACAGGCUAAUAGGGCCCAAGAGUCCACAUCGACGGCCCUGUUUGGCACCUCGAUGUCGGCUCAUCUCAUCCUGGGGCUGUAGUAGGUCCCAAGGGUUGGGCUGUUCGCCCAUUAAAGAGGUACGUGAGCUGGGUUCAGAACGUCGUGAGACAGUAACCUGGACCGUUGCUGUCUAUAAAUCUGGCUAUAUGCUGGAAAGCCUGGGGGAUCCCACGCUACCCAUCCUGCAAACCCGUUGAGGAUGUGCCGAUAGGUAGGGAUGGGUGACAAUGCGAUGGGUGCAGGUAACCAGCAGGGAAGGCCAGAUGAGGGGAUCAGCCACUACAUCGCAGGUUUUGUCGACGGGGAAGGUUCGUUCCACGUGGCGGUGCAACGUCAUCCCACCACCCGGUGGCGAUGGCAGAUCGUGCCCGAGUUCCGGGUUUCCCAGAACGACGGUAAUCAGCACGUGCUGGAGUUGAUCCAGAGCGUGUUGGGCUGCGGGCACAUCAAGCGGAACCACGGGAAGAGCCUGCGAGACAGAACCUGGGUGUUGGUGGUAAGACAUCGCUCCGACCUGAUCGGGAAGGUGAUCCCGUUCUUCGAGCGGUAUCGCCUGCACACGACGAAGCGUCAUGAUUUCGAGCGGUUCGCGGCUGUCGUCCGGGCUGUGGCGGUGGGGCAACAUCGUCACCCCGCAGGACUCCGCGAGUUGCUGCGCGUGGCCUUCGCGAUGAAUCAGGGUGGAGCUCGGCGACGGCUGUCGCUGGAGACGGUCCUUGCUCAUCUGGAACCCUCAGAGACUGUACGCCAGACACCUCGCACGAGGUGAAGAUACAGUCCGAGCUUUCAGGCGACUGAAAGAGGCAGGCAGAAAUGACCUGCCCCCUCCCCUUCCAGGAGGAGUAACAACACUGUCGGUCCCUAUCCACCGCGGGCGCAGGAGACUUGAGGGGAGCUGCUCCUAGUACGAGAGGACCGGAGUGGACGGACCUCUGGUGUACCGGUUGUCCUGCCAAGGGCACGCGCCGGGUAGCCAUGUCCGGACGGGAUAAGCGCUGAAAGCAUCUAAGCGCGAAGCCCACCCCAAGACGAGGUCUCCCACCGGGUCAACCGGGUAAGCCCCCUGGGAGAUGACCAGGUUGAUAGGCCGGGGGUGUAAGCGCUGAGAGGCGUUGAGCCUACCGGUACUAAUCGGGCGAGGGCUUGAGCCC